CAUGCUCUCUCUCUCUCUCUCAAAAAUAAAUAACCAUUAAAAAAAUAUAUAUUGAGUCCUGGAUCCAGCCUCCAGAGAUUCUGAUUUGAUUGGCCUGAGUGCAGCUGGGGUAUCAGGAGUUUAUCAAAGCUUCCACAGUGAUUUUAAUGGCCUGCCAGGACUGAGAACCACUGGUCUAGAGAUAAUGCAGAUGAGUAAGACUUGUCAAAAUUUAUAAAGUGCUUUGACCUCAGAUGUCAUAGCCACAGGUCUAUCACAAUGUAGGACAGUUGGGAACAGGGUUGCAGAGGGGCACAGAAACUAUGCAGAGUGGGGAAAAUCUUAUUUUCUUCUCAUUCAAAUAAGAAAUGAUGGAUAUUGUCUUCCUAUUACAGGGAUCAUCGUAGGCAGCACCAGAGAGACCUGGCUGCAAUUGCCCUCUGGUCGUAGGUUAGGGGAGUGCUGUUGGAGCGGUGCUGAAUUCACAGGGUCAACCUCUUGUCGGCUGAACGGUUUACAAAUUGAGGAUUCCGCUCCGAUAGGUUGAUUUCUUGUUGCUUGUCCAGUUUUUAAGCCGGGAAGAGAAGCCUUCUGGUGAUGUGAUAUGAAAACAUGGUAUGUUCUGCCGGAUUUAGUUAAUCUGCUGCUGCUGCUGCUGCUGCUGCUGGUGAAUCAAAGGAAGAAGGAGGAGGAGGAGGAGGAGGGAGAGAAGAGCUACCGACGUAGCUGUUACUCACACAUCCGCGUUGCACUGAAUUUACUGGCUAACGCAGUGACAACAGCGAUUAUUUUUCUCAACACCAGUGAUGCCGUGGGACCGUUCAGGGUUCUGUGAAGGGACUGCCCAUUGGCGUUUUGUGCCAGACCGGGCAUUUUCACCUGGGUAGUGCCUUCGGUUUUAUUCAUUUUUCUGGACCCUGAGCCCUUGGCAAGCAAAACGAGAAUUCGGAGCCGUCUUUUUUUAAAUGGCUUCAGCAGGAGGGCUCGGCCCAGGAUCUCUCCGCCCCCUUCCCACUGAGAAACUCAGACCGCCGUUUUUUAGCUGUUUACCCAAAAACGAAUAAACAAAACCUCGCGAUGA